GAUGAACGCUGGCGGCGUGCCUAAUACAUGCAAGUCGAGCGAACGGACGAGAAGCUUGCUUCUCUGAUGUUAGCGGCGGACGGGUGAGUAACACGUGGAUAACCUACCUAUAAGACUGGGAUAACUUCGGGAAACCGGAGCUAGUACCGGAUAAUAUUUUGAACCGCAUGGUUCAAAAGUGAAAGACGGUCUUGCUGUCACUUAUAGAUGGAUCCGCGCUGCAUUAGCUAGUUGGUAAGGUAACGGCUUACCAAGGCAACGAUGCAUAGCCGACCUGAGAGGGUGAUCGGCCACACUGGAACUGAGACACGGUCCAGACUCCUACGGGAGGCAGCAGUAGGGAAUCUUCCGCAAUGGGCGAAAGUCUGACGGAGCAACGCCGCGUGAGUGAUGAAAGUCUUCGGAUCGUAAAACUCUGUUAUUAGGGAAGAACAUAUGUGUAAGUAACUGUGCACAUCUUGACGGUACCUAAUCAGAAAGCCACGGCUAACUACGUGCCAGCAGCCGCGGUAAUACGUAGGUGGCAAGCGUUAUCCCGGAUUAUUGGGGCGUAAAGCGCGCGUAGGCGGUUUUUUAGUCUGAUGUGAAAGCCCACGGCUCAACCGUGGAGGGUCAUUGGAAACUGGAAAACUUGAGUGCAGAAGAGGAAAGUGGAAUUCCAUGUGUAGCGGUGAAAUGCGCAGAGAUAUGGAGGAACACCAGUGGCGAAGGCGACUUUCUGGUCUGUAACUGACGCUGAUGUGCGAAAGCGUGGGGAUCAAACAGGAUUAGAUACCCUGGUAGUCCACGCCGUAAACGAUGAGUGCUAAGUGUUAGGGGGUUUCCGCCCCUUAGUGCUGCAGCUAACGCAUUAAGCACUCCGCCUGGGGAGUACGACCGCAAGGUUGAAACUCAAAGGAAUUGACGGGGACCCGCACAAGCGGUGGAGCAUGUGGUUUAAUUCGAAGCAACGCGAAGAACCUUACCAAAUCUUGACAUCCUUUGACAACUCUAGAGAUAGAGCCUUCCCCUUCGGGGGACAAAGUGACAGGUGGUGCAUGGUUGUCGUCAGCUCGUGUCGUGAGAUGUUGGGUUAAGUCCCGCAACGAGCGCAACCCUUAAGCUUAGUUGCCAUCAUUAAGUUGGGCACUCUAAGUUGACUGCCGGUGACAAACCGGAGGAAGGUGGGGAUGACGUCAAAUCAUCAUGCCCCUUAUGAUUUGGGCUACACACGUGCUACAAUGGACAAUACAAAGGGCAGCGAAACCGCGAGGUCAAGCAAAUCCCAUAAAGUUGUUCUCAGUUCGGAUUGUAGUCUGCAACUCGACUACAUGAAGCUGGAAUCGCUAGUAAUCGUAGAUCAGCAUGCUACGGUGAAUACGUUCCCGGGUCU
rnacentral:rRNA from 1 species